CCUACGGGGGGCUGCAGUGGGGAAUAUUGGACAAUGGGCGAAAGCCUGAUCCAGCCAUGCCGCGUGUGUGAAGAAGGCCUUCGGGUUGUAAAGCACUUUCAGUGGGGAAGAAAGCCUUGGGGCUAAUACCCUCGAGGAAGGACAUCACCCACAGAAGAAGCACCGGCUAACUCCGUGCCAGCAGCCGCGGUAAUACGGAGGGUGCGAGCGUUAAUCGGAAUUACUGGGCGUAAAGCGCGCGUAGGCGGUCUGAUAAGCCGGUUGUGAAAGCCCGGGGCUCAACCUGGGAACGGCAUCCGGAACUGUCAGGCUAGAGUGCAGGAGAGGAAGGUAGAAUUCCCGGUGUAGCGGUGAAAUGCGUAGAGAUCGGGAGGAAUACCAGUGGCGAAGGCGGCCUUCUGGACUGACACUGACGCUGAGGUGCGAAAGCGUGGGUAGCAAACAGGAUUAGAUACCCCAGUAGUC
rnacentral:rRNA from 1 species